GACGAACGCUGACGGCGUGCUUAACACAUGCAAGUCGAACGGUGAAGCGCUUGCCUUUUUGGUGGGUGUGAUGAGGGGGGAACGGGGGGGGUACAAGGGAGGAACCUGCCCUCCUCCUCCGGAUUAACCCAUGAAAGGGGGGGCAAAUAGGGGGAAUUCGGGGCCUGUGGCAGGGCGGGUUGGGGAAGGUUGGGGCCUUGGGGGGUUUUGGGGGGGGGAGGGGCUCGCGGCCUAUCGGCUGGUGGGGGGGGGGUUGGCCUACCAAGGCGGUGACGGGUAGCCGGCCUGAGAGGGUGGACGGCCACACUGGGACUGAGACACGGCCCAGACUCCUGCGGGAGGCAGCAGUGGGGAAUAUUGCACAAUGGGCGCAAGCCUGAUGCAGCGACGCCGCGUGAGGGAUGGAGGCCUUCGGGCUGUGAACCUCUUUCGCCAGUGAAGCAGGCCUGCUCCUGUGUGGGUGGGUUGACGGUAGCUGGAUAAGAAGCGCCGGCUAACUACGUG
rnacentral:rRNA from 1 species